AUUGCGCAUGCGCGCGGCUGCCCGCGCGCCUUUGCGAGAGGCUAGACUUGGGACCGCCGGACCCCUGGCGACGCCGGGCGCGCUUCUCCCAGUGCUAAGCGGGAGGGCGCGCGCCCCUUGCGCUUGGACAGGUGCCUUGACGUGGGAACCUUGAGGGGUUUUCCUUCCCCGCUCCUAAAACUGUAAAGCCGGCAAGCUGGAAAGACCGCUAAAGCUCAUCUCGGCCAACCACCUCGUUUUUAAUUUAUGGGGCGACUGAGAAGACGGGAAGUGACGGAGUCUGGAAAAGUUCCUCAGUCCCUCCUUGACUUGCAGACCUUGACAGUUUUGAGGAUUACAGGGGUCCCAGCUGGAGCCUAUUCUAUAUCUCCUUAGGAUUCAAGCAUUGCUGGAGGACUGGUGGAGCAGGACUUCAGGACUCUAUUUAUAUAUAGCUCCUAGAGUAUCUUAGGAAAGAAGCCAUGCUAAGAGAGAGCUGAGUCCCCAAGCCUGGUUCAAGGACGUGAGCCACUGUCAGAAAGGAGAAGAAAUGGUGAAAGCAUCAUGGUCUCUGUCAUUUAGAUCAGCCUCCAUGGAUUCAUGCUUCUGUCAUAAGGAAUAAUCCACUACUGAGGACCCAAUGCCCCACAAAGUGAACCUUGGCCUCCCACAGAAGAACGCUUUAAGGAGCUACCAACUCAUUUACCUUUGCUCUAGUGCAGCAACUAUAUUACGGGUGGUAAGAGUCCUGAAUCAGUCUUUUGCCAACGACAGAUGGGUCGACCACAACAAAUGGGCAGUUUGCACAUGAGACUUAAUGUACAACUCCUUGUUCGUUUUUCCUUGACAGUGGAAGGACAUUGGACCUGACGUACAGAAGUCUCUCAGUAAAGAUUUGCUGUUUUUGAAAUUCCAUGGACACUGACCAGAUCUGUGAAUAAGAAGGCUCUUGGAUAAGAGUGAAAAAAAUGGAUGACACCAAUGUAUCUCACAUGGAGGAAACUGUCUUUAUGAAAACUCUUUGAAAUGCCCUGCAGACACAGAUGUCAGCAGAUGCCCAGCUCAGACAAGGGGAAGCUGUUUUGCAUGAAACAAAGAGAGGAACAUGGUUUAUUGCUUGUGGAAAGGAGGGGGAAGAAAGAAGUUUUCAGGAUGGCUGAGCAGGUCUGCUGCCUCUCCAGUGAAUGAAGGGCCAGAGUCCGGGAUUUCGCACAAAACUUUGAUGGGAUUUGGAAGAUUUCCUUGUGGAGGUGACAAGCACUCGAGUUGUCUUUAUAGCCCCAGUAAUAAGAUGAUGGCAUCAUCCAUGUUCCCUCUACCAAUGACUCUUCCAUGGCAACGUAGCUGAGACUGAGGCUAAAGGGCCAAAAAGGAUCACCUCCCAAAUAAACUACCUGAACCCAAGUAUUUAUCUUAGGCUCUGCUUUUUGGGAAAUCUAAACUUAGUUAGCUGAUACCAGGAGUGACCUCAGAGUGAACACCCUCAGGAUGGAUUCUGGAACUGAAUCACUCACUGAUCAGAUGGCAACAAGGACUCUGCUGUUGAUGAUAAGUUGAGCAGUGAUAACCCCUGAUAUGCUGUGCAGUCACAACGACUAAACUCUUCACCUGUGGAAGACCGGAAGUACAAGUGGAAGGAACACACCAGAUUAUGUAGUAGCUCUAGCACAGGGAUUCUCAGCCAUUUAAAAAAAAUAUUGUCCCCCUAGGGAGAAAAAUUAAAUUAAUUUAAAGUAUUCUGGGUGGGAGGUGGGCAAAAGAGGUGAAGGUGAUCAAAAGGUACAGCCUUCCAGUUAUAAAUAAGUCUGGGAAAUGUAACGUACAGUAUGGUGACUAUAGUUAAACAUACUGUUUUGCAUAUUUGAAAGUUGCUAAGAGAGUAUGUCUUAAAAAUUCUCAUCACAAGAAACAAAAAUUGUAACUGUAUAUGGUGAUGGAUGUUAACUGAACUUAUGGUGGCAAUCAUUUCAUAAUAUAUACAUGUAUUAAAUCAUUAUGUUGUACACCUAAAAUGAAUAAUAUGUUUUAUAUCAAUUAUAACUCAA